AAUGUUUAAAAUGCCCCCAUGUAUAAAAACAUUUUGUCAAUCUAGUCAAGGACUGACUUACAAGCAUUGUAUUUCUAAGAUAUGUGGCUAACUUAUUAAAUGCUACAAUGUGUGUGUGUGUAAAAAAUGUAGAGCAGUAGCAUGUAGCUUAUUCAUUUAUGGCGUGUGUGUGCAAUUAUAUGUAGUUAUUAAGAACAGGAUUUUUUUUUUUUUCGUGCGAUGUGACCGGGUGGGUGUGAGUUUGUUCACGCUUUCCUAUGUGUAAAAAAAAUGUAGAGAAGUAGUAUAUAGCUUAUUCAUUUAUGGCGUGUGUGUGUAGUUAUAUGUAGUUAUUAAGAACAGGAUUCUGUUUUUUUUUUUUUUUUUCGUGCGACGUGACCGGGUGGGUGUGAGUUUGUUCACGCUUUCCUAUUGUUCGGAUGAAGAAUGGCUUGUGGUUUUGGGCAUGUGCGCGCGUGUUUGCAUACAUGUGUGGGCGUGUCCCCUAUAACCUGGGGUAGCCUCGGAAGAAGAAAAGGCUUGUGGUAGUGUGCGCAUAUGCCCCAAAUAACCCCGGGUAGCUUAGUCAGUCCCCUAACGUUGCGAGAGGAGCGUCAUGGAGGAAGUCUUCGCCGUCAUGAACUUACAACAACAACAACAACAACAGCCCCACGCUGCCGCUGCAAUUCUUCAUGCUGACGAUGUUGACGAUCAGAUAAUGGGUCAAGCCGCAUUAGAAGUUGAAGCCAUGGAUAACACAUCCCAAGCUGAAGCCGUGGAUAACACAUCACAUCCCAGAAACGGAGCGGAUGUUGGUGGUGGUGAGGUGGGGGAUGUUCCAGAAACUCCCAAGUCUACCGGUGAACAUAUCACGGGCGAGUCAUUGGGCAACAACAACCGCGGCGCGUUGGGAGGUGUCGGUAAAAUGGGGCGGCGUGUGCUGAGGGAAGGAUGUGAUACCUCCAUUACCAGUGUCUCAUCUGAAGAACGACCCACCGGACAGCGUAACGCAUAUCCACGGCAACAACAACAGACACGCUUCGGUGAUGGUGUGUCUUGACUCUCCGUCGGGCGCUGAAUCGCGAGAGCGGCGGCGAAGUCGUCUGCAGCAAAAAGAUCAUGAAAUGCGUCAAUCACGACUGGAAAAAAAAAUGCAGCAUAUGGCGGAAGUGUUGCGGCCGCGCCCACUUCUGACUUGACAUACCCCGCUUGACCUUUCUUGGAAGUGUCAUAGGCGGGGUGGGUGGUGGGGAAGUUACUAAAAUCCAUUAUGGAUUUUAUGAGUGGAAGCGAAUAAAAUUCACUAAUGUCUUGGAAGUUAGAGAUGCAUAUGGUGGCCGAAUCUGUGAGAGUCCUAUAUUUAGUGCUUAACAAUCUUUUUUUUAUAUAUGUACUCGCUCUGUGUGUAUUAUUUUUUAUAUAUAUAUGUGCUUGUGUUGUGUAUUUUUUUUCUUCAUUUGUAUAUGUACUCGUGUUGUCAUCCUUUUAUGGGCUGUCUUUGGGCAUGUACGACAUAAGUUUGUAAUAUGUCUCUUUCAAUUAGGAUUUAUUUUGG